rnacentral:pre_miRNA from 13 species
CCUGAGCCUUCUGCCCUGCUCCCUCUCUCUAAUCCUUGCUAUCUGGGUGCUAGUGCUGUCUCAAUGCAAUGUACCUGGGCAAGGGUUCAUAGAGGGUGAGCACAUCUGCAACCAGAAGG